AAAUUGUCUUGCCUGAUGCAUUUCAAGUUGGAGCCAUUAUUGCAAAAUUACCAAGUUCAUGGAAUGGCUAUAAAAAGAAACUCAAACAUGAUGAAACCAAGCAUACCCUUGAAUCCCUCAUGCGUCAUUUGCGUAUUGAAGAAGACUCUCGUAAAUGAGAGAAUAAUGAUCAAGCGGCAGAAAAGGCAAACAUGGUUCAAGGAAAUCAUAAGGGUAACAAGAAGCGUAAAAACUCCAGUUCUAAGGAAGAUUAUGCAGAAAUCUCUAAGAAAAAAUUCAAGGGGGAUUGUUUCUACUGCAAAAAAUCUGAUCAUAUUGCUCGUGAAUGCCGACAUCGAAUAAAAGACGAGAAGGCAAAGAACGAAAAAACAAAGAAGGAUCAAGUAAAUGUGACUGAUGGAAAUCAUGAUCCAAACUUUGUUGCUGUGGUGGAAGAAGUCAACUUAGUUGGAUUUGAAGUAGGAUGGUGGCUGGAUACCGGAGCUACAAUUCAUGUAAGUAAUGACAAAUCUCAGUACAAGACUUACAAAGAAUGCACCGAUGGAAGAGAAGUAAAAAUGGGUAACAAUGUUCGUACCAAAGUUGUUGGAAUUGGAUCAGUUGAACUGAAAUUCACUUUGGGAAAGAAUCUGACUUUGGCAGAAGUUCUCCAUGUGCCUGAAAUGACCAAGAACCUGAUUUCUGGGGAUUGCCUUAACAAGGCAGGUUUUAAGCUUGUAAUUGAGUCUGAUAGCUUUAUAGUAUCUAAGAAUAAUGUAUUUGUCGGAAAAGGUUACUCAUGUAAUGGUAUGUUCAAAAUGAAUCUAAUAAAUGAUAACUUUGCUUAUACUGUUGAUUCUUUACCUUUAUGGUAUGUUAGAUUAGGCCACAUAAAUUAUAAAUCCAUUGAGAACAUGCAUAAUUUAGGAAUUAUUCCUAAAUGUAAGUUUGAUGAUGUUAACAAAUGUGAAAUAUGUGUUCAAGGUAAAAUAACGUGUAAACCACAUAAAUCUGUUAUGCGAACAUCUAAAUUACUUGGUCUUAUACAUUCUGAUGUGGCUGAUCUCCCAAGUUUCAAAUUGAAAAAUCAGCCAACAGCUAUUUUUUAACACUAUGCGUACACAUAGUAUAAACGGUGCGUACGCAUAGUAGAAGCAAAAUUUAAUUCGAAUUUUGUCAAAACACAUCUCGCGUACACACAAAAUUAAGUCGUGCAUACGCAUAGACAAAAAAUCAAAUUUUGCAUUUUUCAAUUUCUUUUGAUUCUACCAAUUCCACAAUUGAGCCCAACAAUUAGUUCAUUAUCAUUCUAUUGAUUUUGAACAAAUAUUCAACAAUUAUCCUCGAUGUAAACUAAUGUUGUUUUUGGUCCUCCACUUUCAAUUUAGUGCUAGCUCCAGUUCGACGAGGAGGUGCUGACAAGUUAGAAACAAAUCAAAAUGGUCGACAUUGUUAGAUAUUUUUCAUCAUUUUGCAUGUAUUUAUUUUUGUUUUGCGAAUGAUUUGCCACCCCGACUAGUGUAUGCAAGGAUUUUAAGGGACACACCUAUUCAAACGGUUGCCUCAAUUUCUAUAAAUUUUGGACGAAUUAUCGUUUGCAAAAUACAUUAAAAAAUUUAUUCUUCUUUCUUUCUCUUGUCAUCAAUAAGUUAUUUUUGAGUGUCUUCUUGGUUUGAUCAAAUAGUCACAAUUUGAAUCAAACGUCUCCAUUGUAUCCUGAGAGAGAUUUUCUAUCAUACCCCAGUUGUGAUUUUGUUGGAUAGGGGAGAAACAUCUCUUAAAAGAUAACUUUUUUCAUGCCUUGGAGUUCAUUAAGUAUUCAGAUUUCCCUACAUUUUUCUCAACCGUUUUAAGAGAUGUCUUCGUUUCAAGAUCUGACAGUAAAUGAAUCUGUGGCACCUUCAAUUCAAGUCAUGAAUCAAGAUUUGAUUCGUUUUGAUCGGUUUGAUGGACAUAACUACACGCGUUGGCAGGAGAAGGUUUUAUUCUUCUUGACAGCAAUCAAACUAUCCUACAUUUUGAGUGAUGAUCUCACGCCUAGUCCAGAAGAAAAAGCAGACGAUUCAGAUGAACGCAAGAAGGAAUUACAGGAACAGCGAAAGAAACGGAAGGAUGAUGAUUUUCUGUGCAGAGGCCAUAUUCUGAAUGCACUAUCAGAUUCUGUUUACAGCGUACACAGGACUAUUGGAACAGCAAAAGAAUUGUGGCUGACAUUGGACAACAAGUAUCGUAUUGAAGAAGCAAGCAACCAGAAACUCUUGAUCGAUAAUUACUUUGAUUUCAAGAUGACGGACAGUAAGUUCGUUCUUGUCCAGGUACAUGAAUUACAACUUAUUGUUAGUAAUCUUAAGAAUGCCGAAAUUGUCUUGCCUGAUGCAUUUCAAGUUGGAGCCAUUAUUGCAAAAUUACCAAGUUCAUGGAAUGGCUAUAAAAAGAAACUCAAACAUGAUGAAACCAAGCAUACCCUUGAAUCCCUCAUGCGUCAUUUGCGUAUUGAAGAAGACUCUCGUAAAUGAGAGAAUAAUGAUCAAGCGGCAGAAAAGGCAAACAUGGUUCAAGGAAAUCAUAAGGGUAACAAGAAGCGUAAAACCUCCAGUUCUAAGGAAGAUUAUGCAGAAACCUCUAAGAAAAAAUUCAAGGGGGAUUGUUUCUACUGCAAGAAAUCUGGUCAUAUUGCUCGUGAAUGCCGACAUCGAAUAAAAGACGAGAAGGCAAAGAACGAAAAAACAAAGAAGGAUCAAGUAAAUGUGACUGAUGGAAAUCAUGAUCCAAAC
rnacentral:lncRNA from 1 species